rnacentral:rRNA from 1 species
UACGUAGGAGGCAAGCGUUUGUCCGGAAUUACUGGGCGUAAAGCGCGUGUAGGUGGUGGGACAAGUCUGCUGUGAAAGCGCCUGGCUUAACCGGGCGAGGUCGGCGGAAACUGUUUUCACUGGAGGACGGUAGAGGGGGGGGUGGAAUUCCCCGGUGUAGUGGUGAAAUGCGUAGAGAUCGGGAGGAACACCUGUGGCGAAGGCGGCCCCCCUGGGCCGGCCCUGACACUGAGACGCGAAGGCGUGGGGGAGCGAACGGG